rnacentral:tRNA from 1 species
AAGAUUUUAAGUUAAGAAAACUAUUUAUUUUCAAAAUAAAAAUUAAUUUUGAAUUAGAUCUUU